AACCCUUAUUAUUAGUUGCCAGCAUUUAGUUGGGCACUCUAGUGAGACUGCCGGUGACAAACCGGAGGAAGGUGGGGAUGACGUCAAAUCAUCAUGCCCCUUAUGACCUGGGCUACACACGUGCUACAAUGGCAUAUACAACGAGUCGCCAACCCGCGAGGGUGCGCUAAUCUCUUAAAGUAUGUCUCAGUUCGGAUUGUAGGCUGCAACUCGCCUACAUGAAGUCGGAAUCGCUAGUAAUCGC
rnacentral:rRNA from 1 species